UCACCUUACCCGUGAGCUGCAGUCUCACUCC
rnacentral:piRNA from 1 species